rnacentral:snoRNA from 1 species
GGUCAAUGAUGAAUGGUAAAAGGUCUGAGUCCUCAGAUCCCCUCCCGGCAUCCCAGUUAUCCCCAGCUGCCUCUCCUCCAUCGCACUUCAGAAGUGCUGCGAUGGGCAGAAGGGCAGCUGACACUCCGUGAUGUCCCUCAUUCUGUGUUCCUCCGUGAGCUCAGGGAAGACACUGGUUGGCAUCCAACAGCUUAGUCACAAAGGGAUUUGAUUGUUGGGAGUGCUGGUAUCUGUGGCUAUGAUCUGCCUUGUUCAAGCUGAGACCU